rnacentral:rRNA from 1 species
AAACCAACAGGGAUUGCCCUAGUAACGGCGAGUGAAGCGGCAACAGCUCAAAUUUGAAAUCUGGCUCUCGGGCCCGAGUUGUAAUUUGUAGAGGAUGACUUUGAUGCGGUGCCUUCCGAGUUCCCUGGAACGGGACGCCAUAGAGGGUGAGAGCCCCGUCUGGUUGGAUGCCAAAUCUCUGUAAGUCUCCUUCGACGAGUCGAGUAGUUUGGGAAUGCUGCUCUAAAUGGGAGGUAUAUGUCUUCUAAAGCUAAAUACCGGCCAGAGACCGAUAGCGCACAAGUAGAGUGAUCGAAAGAUGAAAAGCACUUUGAAAAGAGAGUUAAAAAGUACGUGAAAUUGUUGAAAGGGAAGCGUUUAUGACCAGACUUGGGCUUGGUUAAUCAUCUGGGGUUCUCCCCAGUGCACUUUUCCAGCCCAGGCCAGCAUCAGUUUUCGCCGGGGGAUAAAGACUUCGGGAAUGUGGCUCCCCUCGGGGAGUGUUAUAGCCCGUUGUGUAAUACCCUGGCGGGGACUGAGGUUCGCGCUUCUGCAAGGAUGCUGGCGUAAUGGUCAUCAACGAC